GCAGCGUGUAGCUUUAGCCCUUUGUCUGGGCAAGCCUGCUGACGUCUAUUUAAUUGACGAGCCAUCUGCAUAUUUGGAUUCUGAGCAAAGAUUAAUGGCAGCUCGGGUCGUCAAACGUUUCAUUCUCCAUGCAAAGAAGACAGCUUUUGUUGUAGAGCAUGACUUCAUCAUGGCCACCUACCUAGCAGAUCGCGUCAUCGUUUUUGAUGGUGUUCCUUCUAAGAACACAGUUGCAAACAGUCCUCAGACUCUUUUGGCUGGCAUGAACAAAUUUUUGUCUCAGCUCGAAAUUACGUUCAGAAGAGACCCCAACAAUUACAGACCGAGGAUAAAUAAGCUCAAUUCAAUCAAGGAUGUAGAACAAAAGAAGAGUGGAAACUACUUUUUCUUGGAUGAUUAGAUUGAAUCUGAACUUAUCAAUAAGCCAUUUACUUACUGGGAUUUUUAUCAUAUAAAACUUUAAUCAGGUUUUAUGGCCCCACAUACUCUGGAGCUUGAAGUAUGAUUUUCUUAAUGUGACAUCGAAAGCCAGUUGUCUUGUGAAGUCUUGUUUAAGAGCUAUUCUGUUCUUAACAUUAAACCUUUGUGCAUACCACACUAACAUGGAGACAUUUCAAAUAUCACUUACCUCCAGAUUAUCACGAUCUGUGGGGAGAUUUUCAGUUGUGUAUUAUAUUCAUGUACCAGAUCCUUCCUGGUGUUGCCCAUCUUUGAAAUCUUGCAUACAAUCUGCACUUGCCUGUUUGCUAAGUGUACCAGUCUAAUGGACUGCCCUCGUCUACAAGCCAGUCACAAACUUACUGCUGCAGUCCGUCCGAAGCACCAGGGCUGCAUCUGCUACUUGGUUCAGUCUGUGCACUGUGUUUUCUAUCAGUGUGUGCUUCUGAGGAACGGUGUCUGCUACAAACACCGUUGUUGAAAGAUGUUUAUGACCAACUUAUGCAUUGUUUUUAAUGGGUUUUUGGUGCUUUUGAACAUUUGUCAAAAAUUAUUUCAGUACCCUAAUUUAACUGGUUUUUUUUUUUGUUCUUACAUUCUACAAGCUCUAUAACAACAUUCACAGUAAUGUUACUUUUAUAAAUAUAUAUAUAAUCACUGAUCAAGAUUAGGGAGAAAACAUUUCUGAAGAAUAUUUGCUUCCUGUAAAACCAUAGGCUUGGGCUGAGGAGAUGGUUCAAUCAGUAAAGUACAAGCCACUCAUUCUUGAGAACCGCAUGUGAGACUUAGUGGGACUCGCUAAUACCAGCCAAUCUGGGAGUGAGGUCAAGCAGAUCCAUACAGCUCACUGGCCGGCCAGCCUAACAGUGCUCUGGCCCCAACACAGUGCACACACACACACACACACACACACACACACACACACACACACACACACCCUACAGAUACAGUCUUUAUAGUUGGUGCCUACGUAUCUGGAUUUUAGGGGUUUAGUUUUGUUUUAUUUUGAGACAGUGUGUCCUACAGCCCAAAUUGGCCUCAAAUUAGUUAUUGAAUUUCUCAGCCCAUGCCUAGGCUUAGGUUACGCAGUACUGAGGAUCAAGCCCAAGGCUUGGUGUGUCCUAGGCAAGCACUCUAACAACUGAGCUACAUCCCAGCCCUACAUGUUUCUAGACUACAGCAGCCAAGGACACCCUUAACCCCUGCGGGGAGCCUGGGCAAAGGCAGUAAGGCGUCCAUUGCUGCACUGCGCACGCACAUGUAGGUUUAUGCCCAACUGGAAUUAUAAGGGCCGUGGACUACAACCAACAAUGCAAGCAGAACUUUAAAUAACAGAUCUUGAUUAAUUUGGAAACAAUGAUAGUUUGUUCUGAGUGCAACUCAUUAGGCCUUCUAAAAAUGAAUUUAUAUAUAAUCCAUAAAUAUCUGUUGUAAAAGAACGCAAAUCUGCAGAAGUAUAUGGAAUAAAAACUCUCCUUCAUCAGUU
rnacentral:lncRNA from 1 species